rnacentral:rRNA from 1 species
UACGUAGGCGGAUUGGAAAGUAUGGGGUGAAAUCCCAGGGCUCAACCCUGGAACUGCCUCAUAAACUACCAGUCUAGAGUUCGAGAGAGGUGAGUGGAAUUCCGAGUGUAGAGGUGAAAUUCGUAGAUAUUCGGAGGAACACCAGUGGCGAAGGCGGCUCACUGGCUCGAUACUGACGCUGAGGUACGAAAGUGUGGGGAGCAAACAGGAUUAGAUACCCUGGUAGUCC